CCUACGGGAGGCAGCAGUGGGGGAUAUUGCACAAUGGGGGGAACCCUGAUGCAGCGACGCCGCGUGGGUGAAGGAGCGUUUCGGCGCGUAAAGCCCUCUCGGCAGGGAAGAAAUUGACGGUACCUGACCAAGGAGCCCAGCCUAACUCCGUGCCAGCAGCCGCGGUAUGACGUAGGGGGCAAGCGUUAGUCGGAUGUACUGGGUGUAAAGGGUGCGCAGACGGCAAUGCAAGCCAGGAGUGAACGCCCGUGGCCCAACCCCGGGACUGCUCUUGGAACUGCAUGGCUGGAGUACAGGAGGGGCAGGCGGAAUUCCUAGUGUAGCGGUGAAAUGCGUAGAUAUUAGGAGGAACACCGGUGGCGAAGGCGGCCUGCUGGACUGUGACUGACGUUGAGGCCCGAAGGCGUGGGGAGCAAACAGGAUUAGAUACCCCUGUAGUC
rnacentral:rRNA from 1 species